GUGCCAGCCGCUGCGGUAAUACGGAGGGUGCAAGCGUUAAUCGGAAUUACUGGGCGUAAAGCGCACGCAGGCGGUCUGACAAGUCGGAUGUGAAAUCCCCGGGCUCAACCCGGGAACUGCAUUCGAAACUGUCAGGCUGGAGUCUUGUAGAGGGGGGUAGAAUUCCAGGUGUAGCGGUGAAAUGCGUAGAGAUCUGGAGGAAUACCGGUGGCGAAGGCGGCCCCCUGGACAAAGACUGACGCUCAGGUGCGAAAGCGUGGGGAGCAAACAGGAUUAGAUACCCUGGUAGUCCACGCUGUAAACGAUGUCGAUUUGGAGGUUGUGCCCUUGAGCGUGGCUUCCGGAGCUAACGCGUUAAGUCGACCGCCUGGGGAGUACGGCCGCAAGGUUAAAACUCAAAUGAAUUGACGGGGCCCGCACAAGCGGUGGAGCAUGUGGUUUAAUUCGAUGCAACGCGAAGAACCUUACCUGGUCUUGACAUCCACAGAAGUUUUCAGAGAUGAGAACGUGCCUUCGGGAACUGUGAGACAGGUG
rnacentral:rRNA from 1 species